GACGAACGCUGGCGGCGUGCUUAACACAUGCAAGUCGUACGGUAAGGCCCUUUCGGGGGUACACGAGUGGCGAACGGGUGAGUAACACGUGAGUAACCUGCCCACAACUUUGGGAUAACGCUAGGAAACUGGUGCUAAUACUGGAUAUGUGCUCCUGCUGCAUGGUGGGGGUUGGAAAGCUCCGGCGGUUGUGGAUGGACUCGCGGCCUAUCAGCUUGUUGGUGGGGUAGUGGCCUACCAAGGCGGCGACGGGUAGCCGGCCUGAGAGGGUGACCGGCGACACUGGGACUGAGAGACGGCCCAGACUGCUACGGGAGGCAGCAGUGGGGAAUAUUGCACAAGGGGCGCAGGCCUGAUGCAGCAGCGCCGCGGGCGGGAUGACGGCCUUCGGGUUGUAAACCGCUUUCAGCAGGGACGAAGCUUUUUGUGACGGUACCUGCAGAAGAAGCACCGGCUAACUACGUG
rnacentral:rRNA from 1 species